GCCAUUUUCAAAACAAAAGCCGCGGUUUUCAAGUUAUGAUGACGUUUGUUAUACAUUAUAUUUAGUUACACAUUAUACUUGGUUACAAAGCGUUGGUUAAUUUAAGUUGACUUUUCUCGUUAGCAACACGCUAAAGUUUUGUUCACUCGGUCCGAGGGCAGCGUCUCAUGAACAGACAGACAGAAAUGUCAGAGCUUGGUCUAGGACGAAAACGAAGAAUUGACAUCUGGUCAAACUUCACAUAUGACAACAAGGACAACAAGAGCGUCUGUAAACCAUGUGGAGUAAAAAUCGCUGGGAAAAACACCACCAACUUGAAGCGACGUUUACAGACGGCUCAUCCAGAAAUCCACACCAAGAUACAGAAGAUGUCUGAUGACCAUGGGCCAGGUGGAAAUAAAGCUAGUGAUGCUACUAGUACAACACAGCAGCAGGCCAUCUCAGAUUUCCUAAGGUCUUCAAAGUACAAGACUGAAUCAAAGGAACAACAGACCAAGGAGCAGGCCAUAGCUAGAUGGAUUGGACGGACAGGUUUACCACUCACAACAAUUGAGGAUGAGGACUUUGUGCUAAUGAUGGGGAUGAUAGAUGGGAGACUAACAGUUCCAAAGAAAACUAAAAUUAGCAAUUUAAUUAAAACACAGUAUGAAUGCUGUACUUUAUCUUGAAAGAAUGUCAUAUGCGUUUCAUAUAAUUCAGGGACAAUGCAUAUCUUUUUCAGGGAGCAUGUAUAUUGUUCAGGGAGAGCAGGUCUUGUGGUUAUUUUUUGUGAAAAAGACUCAUGUUUUUGACAUGUAAUAAAAUGUUUUUAUUACAACAAUUAGAUAUGUGCCUGUAUUCUAUAUAUGCUUCCAUAUAUUAUAUUAUACUUACAAUUACAUGAAUUAUGGAGAAAAAUCUGCUAAUAUUUGGUCUACUAAAACUAGACUAAGACUAAUAGACUUAAGACUAAACUAAGACUAAAACUCUUAUGAUAUUUAGUCAACUAAACUAGACUAAGACUAAAAGAUUUCAGAUGA
rnacentral:lncRNA from 1 species